rnacentral:rRNA from 1 species
UGGGGCCUUAUAUUUGAACGCUGGCGGCAGGCCUAACACAUGCAAGUCGAACGGUAACAGGAAGCAGCUUGCUGCUUUGCUGACGAGUGGCGGACGGGUGAGUAAUGUCUGGGAAACUGCCUGAUGGAGGGGGAUAACUACUGGAAACGGUGGCUAAUACCGCAUAACGUCGCAAGACCAAAGAGGGGGACCUUCGGGCCUCUUGCCAUCAGAUGUGCCCAGAUGGGAUUAGCUUGUUGGUGAGGUAACGGCUCACCAAGGCGACGAUCCCUAGCUGGUCUGAGAGGAUGACCAGCCACACUGGAACUGAGACACGGUCCAGACUCCUACGGGAGGCAGCAGUGGGGAAUAUUGCACAAUGGGCGCAAGCCUGAUGCAGCCAUGCCGCGUGUAUGAAGAAGGCCUUCGGGUUGUAAAGUACUUUCAGCGGGGAGGAAGGUGUUGUGGUUAAUAACCGCAGCAAUUGACGUUACCCGCAGAAGAAGCACCGGCUAACUCCGUGCCAGCCGCCGCGGUAAUU